ensembl:misc_RNA 7SK 7SK RNA
GGAUGUGAGGGCGAUCUGCUUGCGACAUCUGUCACCCCAUUGAUUGCCAGGGUUGAUUCGGCUGAUCUGGCUGGCUAGGUGGGUGUCCCCUUUCUCCCUCACCGCUCCAUGUGCGUCCCUCCCGAAGCUGCGCGCUCGGUCGAAGAGGGUGACCAUCCCCGCUAGAGGAGGAGCUGUCUUUGGUCAAGGGUAUACGAGUAGCUGCGCUCGCCUGCUAGAACCUCCAAAUAAGCUCUCAAGGUCCAAUAAAAAUAAAUAAAACUUUUUUCAAAAUGCCCUUUUUGCGUGUCUUGAAAGAGGGACUAUGU